AACAACUUCACCUAAAUGAAAAUGCUAUGAUGCCAGGAAGCCCCUGGGUGCUCGCUUUCCUUUAAGGGGUUAAAUCGCUCUCAAAUGGUUUAACCCCAAAGGCUUCCUCCAGCUCCAGGUCGCUCAGUGGUAUUUGGCUUCUGAAACAGAGUGUCUGGAAGUGCAGAUUGACGUCAGGCUUGGGUGCCGCUGAUUGGCUAGAGUGGACAGUUGACGCUCUAAGCCAAUCGCUAGUUCCCGGUUCAUAAAAUAUUUUCACUUUUUUAUGAAUGGGGAGCUACUGAUUGGCUUAGAGUGCCAGCUGACCGCUCUAGCCAAUCAGCAACACCCCUACCCAACGGCACUCUGUG